UACGGAGGGUGCAAGCGUUAUCCGGAUUUAUUGGGUUUAAAGGGUCCGCAGGCGGAUCGUUAAGUCAGUGGUGAAAGCCCACAGCUCAACUGUGGAAUUGCCAUUGAUACUGGCGAUCUUGAGUACGUAUGAAGUUGGCGGAAUGUGUGGUGUAGCGGUGAAAUGCUUAGAUAUCACACAGAACACCGAUUGCGAAGGCAGCUGGCUAAUACGUAACUGACGCUGAGGGACGAAAGUGUGGGGAUCAAACAGG
rnacentral:rRNA from 1 species